rnacentral:rRNA from 1 species
GUUCAACUCAACCCCAGUGUAGCUGAUUCAAUUUCCUGGCAGCUCACCAAUGAUGGCCAAUAUUCGGUAGCGACGGCAUACCGUGCACAAUUUCAUGGCCAUAUCGACUCUGAUAUGGCUCUUUUGCUGUGGAAGAAUAGGGAUCCUCCCAAAUGCAAAUUUUUUGCUUGGUUGGCCAUCAAAAAUAGGAUUUCGACCGCUGACCGGCUUCAGCGCAGGGGCUGGCCAAACUGUAACCUUUGCCCGCUAUGCAAACAAACGCCAGAAUCAGCACCUCGUCUUCUCUUCCAAUGUCAUUACACUAUUAGAGUUUGGGGAAUGAUCAAAGCAUGGCUUGGUUUACAUGAUGUGCAUCCUACAUAUUGGGGAGGCAUGAUUUCCGUCAAGGAGUGGUGGUACUACAUUGCUUCUAGGAGGUCACAAUCUCGAAGGGGGCUUCUUUCCCUUAUGCUUAUUAUCUCUUGGGAAAUCUAGAAUGAGCGAAAUGCACGUGUGUUCCGCAACACGGCGAUUCCGGUCAGGGUGCUUGUGACUCGCGUCAAAGCGGAAACUUAG